rnacentral:rRNA from 1 species
GACGAACGCUGGCGGCGCGCCUAAUGCAUGCAAGUCGAGCGACGCAUUUCUGGUUCGUAAGAACCGGAUCUGACGGAGCGGCGAACGGGUGCGUAACACGUGACCAAUCUGCCCCGAAGACCGGGAUAGCCCGAGGAAACUCGGAUUAAUACCGGAUACCCUCUGAGAACCGCAUGGUUCAUUGAGGAAAACUCAGGUGCUUCGGGAUGAGGUCGCGGCCCAUCAGCUUGUUGGUGAGGUAAUGGCUCACCAAGGCAACGACGGGUAGCUGGUCUGAGAGGACGAUCAGCCACACUGGAACUGAGACACGGUCCAGACUCCUACGGGAGGCAGCAGCAGGGAAUCUUGCGCAAUGGGCGAAAGCCUGACGCAGCGACGCCGCGUGGGGGAUGAAGGCCUUCGGGUUGUAAACCCCUUUCAGGAGGGAAGAAAAUGACGGUACCUCCAGAAGAAGCCCCGGCCAACUACG